rnacentral:rRNA from 1 species
AACGAACGCUGGCGGCAGGCUUAACACAUGCAAGUCGAGCGCCCCGCAAGGGGAGCGGCAGACGGGUGAGUAACGCGUGGGAAUCUACCCAUCUCUACGGAAUAACUCAGGGGAACUUGUGCUAAUACCGUAUACGCCCUUCGGGGGAAAGAUUUAUCGGAGAUGGAUGAGCCCGCGUUGGAUUAGCUAGUUGGUGGGGUAAUGGCCUACCAAGGCGACGAUCCAUAGCUGGUCUGAGAGGAUGAUCAGCCACACUGGGACUGAGACACGGCCCAGACUCCUACGGGAGGCAGCAGUGGGGAAUAUUGGACAAUGGGCGCAAGCCUGAUCCAGCCAUGCCGCGUGAGUGAUGAAGGCCCUAGGGUUGUAAAGCUCUUUCACCGGUGAAGAUAAUGACGGUAACCGGAGAAGAAGCCCCGGCUAACUUCGUGCCAGCCGCCGCCGUAAGAC